rnacentral:misc_RNA from 1 species
AACGCACCUUGCGCUUCUUGGUAUUCCGAGAAGCAUGCCUGUUUGAGUGUUAUGAUAUUUCUUAACAAUAAUUCCGACUUUUCGGAAUUUUAUAGUUAGAUGUGGGGGUAAAGUAAGCUUGCUAGUAAUUUACUAUAAAUGCUAGCUCCCCUUAAAAAUAUCAGCAUAGAAACUAACUAUAUUGUUUUCUCAGUAUAAUAACUAUUUAUACUGUGAUACAUUUAUUAGUGUUAUUAAUGCUUUUAAAAUAAACUCUUUAAUUUUAUGUCUGACCUCAAAUCAGGUAGGAUUACCCGCUGAACUUAA